AUACGUAGGGUGCAAGCGUUAAUCGGAAUUACUGGGCGUAAAGCGUGCGCAGGCGGUUUGGAAAGAAGGAUGUGAAAUCCCAGGGCUCAACCUUGGAACUGCAUUCUUAACUACCGAACUAGAGUAUGUCAGAGGGGGGUAGAAUUCCGCGUGUAGCAGUGAAAUGCGUAGAUAUGCGGAGGAAUACCGAUGGCGAAGGCAGCCCCCUGGGAUAAUACUGACGCUCAUGCACGAAAGCGUGGGUAGCAAACAGGAUUAGAUACCCUGGUAGUCCACGCCCUAAACGAUGUCAACUAGCUGUUGGGCCCUUCGGGGCUUAGUAGCGUAGCUAACGCGUGAAGUUGACCGCCUGGGGAGUACGGUCGCAAGAUUAAAACUCAAAUGAAUUGACGGGG
rnacentral:rRNA from 1 species